ACUGGGCUUAGAGUCACAUAAGAGACAGAGCAAGUAAAAUAUUACGCUACAGUGCUACUGGCCCAUAAUCAGGCAACUGCAGAGUCUUAGGGGGUUAUCUAAUGUAGUCUUGGGGUGGCUGGAUAGACUUCCCAAAGAAGGUGAUGCCGAAGCUGAGGUCGGAAAUUACGAAGAUCAGCUAUCAAACUUGGAAAUCAUGUCUUAGAGAUCAAGGAGCCAAGAGAUGAGACAAGCCUGGGUUCCUAGGUGAUAGGGUGUGGCUGUGUCCCCACCCAAAUCUCGUCUUGAAUUGUAGCUCCCAUAAUCCCCACAUGUUGUGGAGGGACCCUGUGGAAGCAUCUACUUGUUUCCAAAGUUAUUUGGGUCAGCAUUUUCCUCCACCCACCACUUAAAACUGAUUUGUUUCAUACAUUUGAAAUGUAUGAAAAGCCAGAAAUCCAGGACCCACCCUGGCCUGCUCCCUUUUUCUCACCUACUGUGUUAAGGAUAAGUCAAUUGAGCUUCACUUCUCUAAUUGAAAUCACCGUGCUGAUGGAGUCUGUCUGUGGAAAUGAAAGGUGGCUACCAUAAUCUGUUGGGAGUUGAAUUAAUCCUCUGGGAGUGAGGCUGACCUAAUUACUCAGAAAUACUGGGCUUGCUUUCAUUCUGUGGAAUACAGCCAUGAGAAAGAGGCCAGCAUGCCAUUUCCUAAUCUUUUCUUGAAUUGCCUGAAACUCACCUAACAUGAAACUGAGAAGCCUUUUCAUUUGAAAGUGGUAUUUCUUAUGUUUUUUAUCUUUUUGCUUGAAAGUAUUCUUAAACUAAAGAAAGGAGAAACAGAAAAGGUGAAGAAGCCAAGAGGCUGGAGUUUCCUUUUGAAUGGAUAUUCAUCCAUGAAGCUGUUGAUUCUGUUUUUCUGUUCCUCCAGAUGUCUACACUUUUACCUCUGCUUGCCUGAUACAACCACCACCAGUCACCUCACAGAAUAACUCACUCCUUAAGAAUCUGAUCAGGAAUCAGCCUUCCCUGAUCACAAACACUGAGUUUAGAAGUCCCUCCACAGUGUCCCCCGUAACCCUGUGCUACCUCACUGCCUCAUAGUUUAGUGCCGUUUGUGUACAUGCCUAUCUUCGUCCAUGGAUCCAGAACAACUUGUAAAAAUGACUGUACUUAUCACCUUCAGUAUUCAAUGACUAAACUAUAAUUUUAACAUAUCUGGCAGAAUGAAUCACUUGGGGAUUUCUGCCAACACUACCAAUAUAUUACUCCUAAUUUGUAAUUAUUACUUAGCAUGGAUUAUAGUACCGGCUGUUGGAGAGCCAAUGUGGCAGACCCUAAGUGGAAUAAAAUGUCAGUAGCAGUCUAGGAGCAUAUAUUUAUUGGAAUAGAUCAUUCAUUCAUUUGUUCAUUAACUAAUUUGUUCAUUAAAUAAACAUUUAUUAAGCACUCAUGGUUUAGGACGC
ensembl:lncRNA CCDC26 CCDC26 long non-coding RNA